rnacentral:tRNA from 2 species
GGGCCCAUAGCUCAGUUGGCUAGAGCGCCUCGAUGGCAUCGAGGAGGUCGUGGGUUCAAGUCCCACUGGGUCCACCA